CGUGGUGGCACGUCGCCUCCUGCCCGUGACCUUCGGGCGCUACGGCAGCCCGGCGGAGUACGGCCGCCGCCGCCUCCUCCUCGCCCGUGCCAGCACAGGCUUCGCCUGUUCCCGGAACAAUGGUCCCGGUGUCGGGCCCUGCUGCCCGCCCCGGGUCCCUGGUGCCCCCAGCGCGGAGGUGAUGCCCCGCCGUGAGGAGCUGCCUGCCCGCCCCCAGCCGCUUUGUGGCCCCGCUCCUCUCAUACCGCUGCGGGUUGUCAUAGAAUCAGAGUCACAUCGGUUUGGGGUGGAAGGGUGUACCUUGAAGAAUAUCCAGUUCCAAGCCGCCUGCGGUGGGCAGGGACACCUUCGACUAGACCGUGUUUCUCAGAGCCCCGUCCAACCUGGCUUUAACCUGGUCUUGUGGUAUGGGGAGCAGAGCCUGUUCAGGCUGCUGCUGCCGUUUCUUCUUUUCGGCAUUUGCAAAAUGAAUUCCGAAAACAAGAAGGUGGUGAGAACAAUGGAGUAAAGCCUGUGCGUUGUGGGCUGCCAUCGCGGGCUUGGCUCCCCACUCCGUAAGUGGUCACAAUUGAAAGUUCUCUUAAACUUUGGGAGUGUUAUCUUUUGUGACUGGUAACCCAGGAAUGAGGAAAUCCGUGUAUGCAUCUUUUUUUCCUGUGAUUUAAAAACGCUAUCACUUAAUUUUUAAAAGAACCAUGGCUGACUCAUACAACUCUUUCUUCUCACUUUACCCUCCUCCUUCUCAAACAUCUUUACAUAUCAAAUAUUGCCUUUUGGCUCAAGCCUCAGAAAACUGACAGCUUUGUAAAGCAUCCGCCGAGAAGCCAGACUGCGUUCAGUAUGCGCUUGGAAUUAAUAGUUCUUAAAUGAAAAGCUUUGAAGUCUUAAGCGUAAUUUCACAGGAUGCUAGCUGCACUUGAGAGCUGCGUUUGGGUUUCUCUUAACCUCCUCCUGAUCUCUUGAGACUACAACAUUACGUUAUGCUUUGCCCUGAGAUACUAAUGGACUCCUGCUCACUCUGAUGGACUGCAAGCCAGGAAUCUGUGUAAUAUGCUGUCCAGAGUGAAUUACAAUGAAUCAAGGCUCCCGUGAAGAGUUUCUAAUGUUCAUUAAGCACUUCUACCUUCUCUUAUGAGGCCUACUAAGCCAGCAUUAAAAACAUAUUACCCCUUCCUUUU